rnacentral:tRNA from 1 species
GCAUUACUGGUCUAUUGGUACGAUUGUUGCUUGCCAUGCAAUAGAACCGGGUUCGAUUCCCGGGUAAUGCA